rnacentral:rRNA from 1 species
GUAGGUGGCAAGCGUUGUCCGGAAUUAUUGGGCGUAAAGCGCGCACAGGCGGUUCGUUUAAGUCUGAUGUGAAAGCCCACGGGCUCAACCGUGGAGGGUCAUUGGAAACUGGAGAACUUGAGUACAGAAGAGGAAAGCGGAAUUCCACGUGUAGCGGUGAAAUGCGUAGAGAUGUGGAGGAACACCAGUGGCGAAGGCGGCUUUCUGGUCUGUAACUGACGCUGAGGCGCGAAAGCGUGGGGAGCAAACAGGAUUAGAUACCCUGGUAGUCCACGCCGUAAACGAUGAGUGCUAAGUGUUAGGGGGUUUCCGCCCCUUAGUGCUGCAGCUAACGCAUUAAGCACUCCGCCUGGGGAGUACGGCCGCAAGGCUG